UACGGAGGGUGCAAGCGUUACCCGGAAUCACUGGGCGUAAAGGGCGUGUAGGCGGCAAGACAAGUCUGGUUUUAAAGACCUACGCUUAACGUAGGGAAUGGACUGGGUACUGUCUAGCUAGUCCUCUGGAGAGAUAACCGGAAUUCCUGGUGUAGCGGUGGAAUGCGUAGAUACCAGGAGGAACACCAAUGGCGAAGGCAGGUUAUUGGACAGAAGGAGACGCUGAGGCGCGAAAGUGUGGGGAGCGAACCGG
rnacentral:rRNA from 1 species